rnacentral:rRNA from 1 species
CCCUUAGAUGUUCUGGGCCGCACGCGCGCUACACUGAUUCAUGCAACAAGUUUUGUCCUUGGCUGAUAGGCCUGGGUAAUCUUUGAACGUGAAUCGUGAUGGGGAUAGAUGAUUGCAAUUAUUCAUCUUCAACGAGGAAUUCCUAGUAAACGCAAGUCAUCAGCUUGCAUUGAUUACGUCCCUGCCCUUUGUACACACCGCCCGUCGCACCUACCGAUUGAAUGGUCCGGUGAAAUCUUCGGAUCUGAGAGAUGUCUGAUUAAUUUCGGACGCCUUUUGGAAAAGUUGUUUAAACCUUACCAUUUAGAGGAAGGAGAAGUCGUAACA